GCUGGGCAUGGUGGCGCGUGCCUGUAAUCCCAGCUACUUGGGGGGCUGAGGCAGAAGAAUCGCUUGAACCCGGGAGGCAGAGGUUGCAGUGAGCCAAGAUCGCGGCACUGCACUCCAGCCUGGGCGACAGGGCGAGAUUCUGUCUCAA
rnacentral:SRP_RNA from 1 species